GGUAGGGGAGGAACCUCCGUAAAUAAGUUUACAGCUUACCGCCUUCGCUCGGCCACCUAACC
rnacentral:tRNA from 1 species